UACGAAGGGGGCUAGCGUUGCUCGGAAUCACUGGGCGUAAAGCGCACGUAGGCGGCUUUCUAAGUCAGGGGUGAAAUCCUGGAGCUCAACUCCAGAACUGCCUUUGAUACUGGAGAGCUUGAGUCCGGAAGAGGUGAGUGGAACUCCGAGUGUAGAGGUGAAAUUCGUAGAUAUUGGGAAGAACACCGGUGGCGAAGGCGGCCAUCUGGACCGGAACUGACGCUGAGGCGCGAAAGCGUGGGGAGCAAACAGG
rnacentral:rRNA from 1 species